rnacentral:rRNA from 1 species
CCAGACUCCUACGGGAGGCAGCAGUGGGGAAUAUUGCACAAUGGGCGCAAGCCUGAUGCAGCCAUGCCGCGUGUAUGAAGAAGGCCUUCGGGUUGUAAAGUACUUUCAGCGGGGAGGAAGGUGUUGUGGUUAAUAACCACAGCAAUUGACGUUACCCGCAGAAGAAGCACCGGCUAACUACGUGCCAGCAGCCGCGGUAAUACGUAGGGUGCGAGCGUUAAUCGGAAUUACUGGGCGUAAAGGGUGUGCAGGCGGCUGAGUAAGACAGAUGUGAAAUCCCCGGGCUUAACCUGGGAACUGUAUUCGAAACUGGCAGGCUGGAGUCUUGUAGAGGGGGGUAGAAUUCCAGGUGUAGCGGUGAAAUGCGUAGAGAUCUGGAGGAAUACCGGUGGCGAAGGCGGCCCCCUGGACAAAGACUGACGCUCAGGCGCGAAAGCGUGGGGAGCAAACAGGAUUAGAUACCCGAGUACA